AUUGAACGCUGGCGGCAGGCCUAACACAUGCAAGUCGAGCGAGCAGCGGACGGGUGAGUAAUGUAUGGGGACUGCCCGAUAGAGGGGGAUAACUACUGGAAACGGUGGCUAAUACCGCAUACUGUCGGAUAACCCCUAUGGGAUUAGCUAGUAGGUAAGGUAAUGGCUUACCUAGGCGACGAUCCCUAGCUGGUCUGAGAGGAUGAUCAGCCACACGUGGACUGGGAGACGGCCCAGACUCCGACGGAGGCAGCAGUGGGGAAUAUUGCACAAUGGGCGAAAGCCUGAUGCAGGGGCGCCGAGUGGGGGAUGAAGGCUUUAGGGUUGUAAACCUCUUUCGCUAGCGAACGGGUAGGUGGAGAAGAAGCGCCGGCUAACUACGUGCCAGCAGCCGCGGUAAUUC
rnacentral:rRNA from 1 species